CCUACGGGAGGCAGCAGUGGGGAAUAUUGGGCAAUGGGCGCAAGCCUGACCCAGCAACGCCGCGUGAAGGAAGAAGGCUCUCGGGUUGUAAACUUCUUUUCUCAGGGACGAAGCAAGUGACGGUACCUGAGGAAUAAGCCACGGCUAACUACGUGCCAGCAGCCGCGGUAAUACGUAGGUGGCAAGCGUUAUCCGGAUUUACUGGGUGUAAAGGGAGUGUAGGCGGGACUGCAAGUCAGAUGUGAAAACCAGGGGCUCAACCUAUGGCCUGCAUUUGAAACUGUAGUUCUUGAGUACUGGAGAGGCAGACGGAAUUCGUAGUGUAGCGGUGAAAUGCGUAGAUAUUAGGAGGAACACCAGUGGCGAAGGCAGUCUGCUAGACAGCCACUGACGCUGAGGCGCGAAAGCGUGGGGAGCAAACAGGAUUAGAUACCCCAGUAGUC
rnacentral:rRNA from 1 species